GGGAGUGUGCAGUUGUGGUCGAUAGUGGGCAGGUGUGGGCGGGAGUGAGCAGGAGUGGGCAGGUGUGGGCGGGAGUGGGCAGGUGUGAGCGGGAGUGAGCAGGAGUGGUCAGGUUUGGGCGGGAGUGGGCACAUGUGGGUGGGAGUGGGCAGUUGUGGUCAGGUGUGAGCAGGAGUGAGCAGGUGUGAACGGGAGUUGGCAGGUGUGAGCGGUAGUGGGCAGGUGUCGGUGGAAGUGUGCAGGUGUGAGCAAGAGUGGGCAAGUGUGCGUGGGAGUGUGCAGGUGUGAGCGGGAGUGCGCAGGUCUGUGUGGGUGUGUGCGGGUGUGGGUGGGAGUGUGCAGGUGUGAGCGGGAGUGUGCAGGUGUGAGCGGGAGUGUGCAGUUGUGAGCAGCAUGUGCAGGUGUGUGGGAGUGUGCAGGUGUGGGUGGCAGUGUGCAGGUGU